CGUAAGUGUGACAGGGAGGCAACACGUCGAAAGUGGUUCGCGGUAGUCCUUCUGUGGGGCUACCCCGAAAACCGAAAUUCGCAAAUUGCGGGGAUCUUUCUCUUUUACUCCAAUGAAGACGUAAUUAGAGUGACAGAGAAAAAUGCCCGCAAUUUGCGAACUUCGAUUUUCGCGGUUAUAGCCCAGCCCUC